UACGUAGGGACCAAGCGUUGUUCGGAUUUACUGGGCGUAAAGGGCGCGUAGGCGGCCAGAUAAGUCCGGUGUGAAAGUCAAAGGCUCAACCUUUGAAUGCCGCUGGAAACUGUCUGGCUAGAGUCCGGAAGGGGCGAGUGGAAUUCCUGGUGUAGCGGUGAAAUGCGCAGAUAUCAGGAGGAACACCGAUGGCGAAGGCAGGUCUCUGGGCCACUACUGACGCUGAGAAGCGAAAGCAUGGGGAGCGAACAGG
rnacentral:rRNA from 1 species